rnacentral:rRNA from 1 species
GGCGGACGGGUGAGUAACGCGUAGGAAUCUACCUAGUAGAAGGGGAUAGCCCGGGGAAACUCGGAUUAAUACCGUAUACCUCCUUCGGGAGAAAGAAGGCCUCUCUUUGAAGCUUUCGCUAUUAGAUGAGCCUGCGUAAGAUUAGCUUGUUGGUGAGGUAAAGGCUCACCAAGGCGACGAUCUUUAGCUGGUCUGAGAGGACGAUCAGCCACAUUGGGACUGAGACACGGCCCAGACUCCUACGGGAGGCAGCAGUGGGGAAUAUUGGACAAUGGGCGCAAGCCUGAUCCAGCCAUACCGCGUGUGUGAGGAAGGCCUUCGGGUUGUAAAGCACUUUAAGCAGGGAGAAAAAGUUAUAAGUUAAUACCUUAUAACCGUGAUGUUACCUGCAGAAUAAGCACCGGCUAAUUCCGUGCCAGCAGCCGCGGUAAUACGGAAGGUGCAAGCGUUAAUCGGAAUUACUGGGCGUAAAGCGCGCGUAGGUGGUUUGUUAAGUUGGAUGUGAAAGCCCUGGGCUCAACCUAGGAACUGCAUCCAAAACUAACUCACUAGAGUACGAUAGAGGGAGGUAGAAUUCAUAGUGUAGCGGUGGAAUGCGUAGAUAUUAUGAAGAAUACCAGUGGCGAAGGCGGCCUCCUGGAUCUGUACUGACACUGAGGUGCGAAAGCGUGGGUAGCGAACAGGAUUAGAUACCCUGGUAGUCCACGCCGUAAACGAUGACAACUAGCUGUUGGAAGACAACG